rnacentral:lncRNA from 1 species
UGGUCAAGGUAGUUUUUGAUGAAGUUGAAGUCCAAUCAACUUGAAACUUAGUAUACAUCUGCCCUAUGAUAUGAUCUUUCUAAUUUAAAUGCCAAAUUAGAGUUUUGACCCCAAUUUUACGGUUCACUGAACAUAGAAAAUGAUAGUGCAAUUUCAGGUUAAAGUUUUUUCAACGGUAGUUUUUGAUAAAGUAGAAGUCCAAUCAACUUGAAACUUAGUAUACAUGUUCCCUUUGAUAAGAUCAUUCUAAUUUUAAUGCCAAAUUAGAGAAUUUAUUCCAAUUUCACAGUCCUUUAAACAUAGAAAAUGAUAGUGUGAGUGGGGCAUCCGUGUACUGUGGACACAUUCUUGUUUCACCUGCUUUGAUUUAUUUUGUAAUUGAUCGCCAAACCCGGAAUUAUCCUUAUCCGCUUCCGGAAUCGGAUCCGAUAUUGUAAAAUUUUGUCUUCACGGCCGCCAUUGUUAAGUGUUUACAAUGUUGUUUUUGUCAAUCAGAUACGAUUUUACUCGAAUUUAUACAAUAUUUGUCGGCGAUUUUCUGUAUAAAGCUAGCGGUUGAACAAAAUGAACAUCGCUGUCAUGAAUAAUAAUGAUAAAAAUAAGUUUUUAGCUCGUUUAAUUGGAGACUUUGGUGACUUGCAUGGAAGGUUUGCAAAGUAAUUUCUUAUUUUCUUUCAAGUGGAAGGUAACUACGUCGGGCGUAGCUAGAAAACCAACUAUCCUAGUCGAAAUUCCGCUUGCAAAAGUGGAAGGUCGCGGACCUCGGACCACCGCUAAUUUGCACACCUGCCUCCAAAUUGAAAAGCUACGAAAAUUUCUUUUUUCUAAUUUGAAAUUGCCGCCAACAGCAUGAACAGUUGAACUUAUUAUAUAAUAGACUACUGACGUAAUUGUACUACGUAUUGAUGACAAACAAUAUCCCUACGACUUUUGCCAUUUGGGAAAUCUAAACUACUUGUCUUAAGAGAUUUUCGGCGAUUAAAUAUUUCAUACAAUUGUUCCUUGACAUCUUAGCUAAAAGCACAAGUCAUAAUGAACUACACAAGGAUUCUUAAUAAGCACUACUUCCUAUGUGUAACUUCAAAACUUUUGGAUAAAUCGACGAUCAUUUAAGGUUUUUCUGGUCAUAUUUUUUGUAAUCCAGAAUAAAAAGUAUUAAAAAAGUGUUCAAUUAGUU